rnacentral:rRNA from 1 species
AGCGAACGCUGGCGGCAGGCCUAACACAUGCAAGUCGAACGAACCUUUCGGGGUUAGUGGCGGACGGGUGAGUAACACGUGGGAAGGUGCCUUUAGGUUCGGAAUAACUCAGGGUGACUUGUGCUAAGACAGAAUGUGCUCUUAGUGGGAACGAUUAAUCGCCUUUAGGGCGGCCCGCGUCUGGUUAGCUAGUUGGUUGAGGUCAUGGCUCACCAAGGCGACGUUGAGUAGCUGGGAUGAGAGGAUGACCAGCCAGAUCGGAGCUGAGACACGGCCCCAACUCCGAGGGGACGGAGCAGUGGGGAAUCUAGCGGACUGGGCGAGAGCCUGACGCAGCCAUGCGGGGUAAAUGAGGAAGGGCUUAGGAUAGCAAAAUUCUUUCACCGGGGGCGAUAAUGACGGUACCCGCAGAAGAAGCCCCGGCUAACUUCGUG